AAAGGUAGCAUAAUCAUUUGUCUAUUAAUUAUAGACCUGUAUGAAAGGCAAAAUGAGGGCCUAACUGUCUCUUAUAAUAAAUCAAUUAAACUGAUCCCCUAGUAAAAAAGCUAGAAUCCUACCACAAGACCAGAAGACCCUGUGAAGCUUAAACUAAACUAUCAAACCCCAUAAUAGCUAAUUUCGGUUGGGGCGACCUUGGAAAAAAAAAGAACUUCCAAAUACAAUGACUCCCACAUAUAAAACCAGGCCGACAGGCCACUUAAUGACCCAGCUAAGACUGAUAAAUGAACCAAGUUACUCCAGGGAUAACAGCGCAAUCUUCUUUAAGAGCCCAUAUCAAAAAGAAGGUUUACGACCUCGAUGUUGGAUCAGGACAUCCUAAUGGUGCAGAAGCUAUUAAGGGUUCGUUUGUUCAACAAUUAAUAGU
rnacentral:rRNA from 1 species